rnacentral:rRNA from 1 species
AUUGAACGCUGGCGGCAGGCCUAACACAUGCAAGUCGAACGAGUGGCGGACGUGUGAUUAAUGUCUGGGAAACUGCCCGAUGGAGGGCGAUAACUACUGGAAACUGUAGCUAAUACCGCAUACCAUCGGAUGUGCCCAGAUUGGAUGAGCUAGUAGGUGGGGUAACGGCUCACCUAGGCGACGAUCCCUAGCUGGUCUGAGAGGAUGACCAGCCACACUGGAAAUGAGACACGGUCCAGAAUCAUACGGGAGGCAGCAGUGGGGAAUAUUGCACAAUGGGCGCAAGCCUAAUGCAGCCAUGCCGCGUGUAUGAAGAAGGCCUUCGGGUUGUAAAGUACUUUCAGCGAGGAGGCGUUACUAGCAGAAGAAGCACCGGCUAACCCCGUGCCAGCAGCCGCGGUAAUAC